CCUACGGGAGGCUGCAGUGGGGAAUAUUGGACAAUGGGCGAAAGCCUGAUCCAGCCAUGCCGCGUGUGUGAAGAAGGCCUUCGGGUUGUAAAGCACUUUCAGUGGGGAAGAAAGCCUUGGGGCUAAUACCCUCGAGGAAGGACAUCACCCACAGAAGAAGCACCGGCUAACUCCGUGCCAGCAGCCGCGGUAAUACGGAGGGUGCGAGCGUUAUUCGGAAUUACUGGGCGUAAAGCGCGCGUAGGCGGUCUGAUAAGCCGGUUGUGAAAGCCCCGGGCUCAACCUGGGAACGGCAUCCGGAACUGUCAGGCUAGAGUGCAGGAGAGGGAGGUAGAAUUCCCGGUGUAGCGGUGAAAUGCGUAGAGAUCGGGAGGAAUACCAGUGGCGAAGGCGGCCUUCUGGACUGACACUGACGCUGAGGUGCGAAAGCGUGGGUAGCAAACAGGAUUAGAUACCCGAGUAGUC
rnacentral:rRNA from 1 species